rnacentral:sRNA from 1 species
AUGCUCUAAGUCCAGGCUGAAUGGCACCAUCAAAAUCAUUGGAGGAAUAAUGCAAGAUCUGAGAGAGGAGUUAUGGUCAUUAAUGCAAAAGAGUGAUGAAUUAUGGUUUUACGUAAUGUGAAGGGAAGAAGAACCUCUGCCUCUUACUUCUGGUGGGACAAUUAGUGACAACGGAUCAUAUAUUUAGUUAUCUACCAAUCAUAUCACAUAUUGCAUUGACUUGGGAAUGAGUUUUCUGAGAGUUGCAAGUUGUGCAUUGAUUCUGUCCCUGCGCCUUUUCUCUGCUUGGCUGUGACUCUUUGAAGCACUUGCAGCUCUAUCUUCUGUAAUGGUUGCAGGCCACAAAGGGAACUCACUAAACUGAAGAGAUGGAGGGUCAGAAGCAAGAGAGGGUGUUUAAGUUGUUGGAACAGAAAAAAGGAGAUAAUUGAUCACUGUUUGGUGCAGAGUUGCAUUCAGCCAUGUUGGUGGCAAGAGGCUACCCAGAAUAGUGGUAACUUUCCAUAUGCAUAAUCAGAGACCAUUCUAAUGCCUGUGCCUGGUUUUGUGAGCCUUUUAUUUCCCAUUCAUUGACAUUGUUUGCUUAAUGGGCGAUCUUGUUCUUAUCUUUAUGGUGAUUGGUGUGAUAUGCAAUGACCUUUAAUGGGAUCAGACGAAAAUGGUUUUUGGCCGUAGGCGCCUGUCACUUCACCAAGAAAAUUUUCUCUCUGAUAAAUCUCACUACACUUUGUGAAGAAUCUCAAGUUUGAGAAGAUUAAAAAGGAUGAGCGAAACACGGCUGAGAGCUGAUGUAAUUCUUGGUUGAGCUAUAAGUUUCAUAUUCGAUAUAAAUUGAG